GUCGAGCGGGCCCUUUCGGGGGGGUCAGCGGGCAGACGGGUGAGUAACACCUGGGAACGUGCCCUUCGGUUCGGAAUAACUCAGGGAAACUUGAGCUAAUACCGGAUACGCCCUUUUGGGGAAAGGUUUACCGCCCAAGGAUCGGCCCGCGUCUGAUUAGCUAGUUGGUGGGGUAACGGCCUACCAAGGCGACGAUCAGUAGCUGGUCUGAGAGGAUGAUCAGCCACACUGGGACUGAGACACGGCCCAGACUCCUACGGGAGGCAGCAGUGGGGAAUAUUGGACAAUGGGCGCAAGCCUGAUCCAGCCAUGCCGCGUGAGUGAUGAAGGCCUUAGGGUUGUAAAGCUCUUUUGUCCGGGACGAUAAUGACGGUACCGGAAGAAUAAGCCCCGGCUAACUUCGUGCCAGCAGCCGCGGUAAUACGAAGGGGGCUAGCGUUGCUCGGAAUCACUGGGCGUAAAGGGCGCGUAGGCGGCUUUUUAAGUCGGGGGUGAAAGCCUGUGGCUCAACCACAGAAUUGCCUUCGAUACUGGAAAGCUUGAGACCGGAGGAGGACAGCGGAACUGCGAGUGUAGAGGUGAAAUUCGUAGAUAUUCGCAAGAACACCAAUGGCAAAGGCGGCUGUCUGGUCCGGUUCUGACGCUGAGGCGCGGAAGCGUGGGGGAGCAAACAGG
rnacentral:rRNA from 1 species